rnacentral:rRNA from 1 species
CGGCGGACGGGUGAGUAACGCGUGGGUAACCUGCCUCAUACAGGGGGAUAACAGUUAGAAAUGACUGCUAAUACCGCAUAAGACCACAGCACCGCAUGGUGCAGGGGUAAAAACUCCGGUGGUAUGAGAUGGACCCGCGUCUGAUUAGGUAGUUGGUGGGGUAACGGCCUACCAAGCCGACGAUCAGUAGCCGGCCUGAGAGGGUGACCGGCCACAUUGGGACUGAGACACGGCCCAA